UUCAGCGCAGAAGGGAUUUUUGUGGUUGAUCUUUAUACCUCAAACUGACAACAGCUUUUGGAUUAAGAUUAAGAUACCUCUGCAUGGCAUAAAACAGUAAGCAUGCGGAAGAGAGUGAUGUAAUCUGGCGUGGGAUGUUUUAACAGCUUGGGUGCUACAGGCUUAACUUCCAAGUCUUCAGGAUGCUUGGUUCUGUUAUAGAAGAGGAGCUUCAGUCACUGCUGCUUUAUAUUCCACAAUCAACUGUACCUGACCAAAAGGGAUCUGUCUGUCAAUGUCCUGCUGCUGCUGUGAUGCUUCUGUGAGAUCUUGAGAGAACAAGGCUCUUUGAUAUUACAGCUGGUGUGUCCAGUGUCAUAUCUUUCUUAUGAGACACUGAACGUGUAAGGCUACAUCUCUAGUGCGGUUAGAAUGUUUGAAGGUUGCUGGAAGCUGUUUUUUCAGAUAAAUAUAAAUGGUGAUUCUAGAUCGUUGAGGAAAUGUGUUUGGAUUUCAAAAUUGCAAAGCAGUAACAGUUUUAAAACACAUGUUAAAAAAAAUUAUUUCAUAUGCUCACACCACUUUCCAAAACUUGUGUUUGUGUUUGUCUCUGUCCCACUCUAGAUAAAGAUCUUUCAUAGUAUCUAAAUUGCAAAAUGAAUAUAUAGAUGCUCUUCCAGCUCUGCUGUCAACAUGUUAAAAGGGAAAAAGGAAAUUCUGAGGAUCUGAAGUGGCAUCUUAGCAGACAGAAAGUGUAAUCUGUGGCUCAUUUGGUGAUUUUACUGCACACUUAAAAUAAGUAUAUUGCACUAUGUAUGUAGUGCUGCAAAUUUCAAAUUUGCAGUAUGUUGCAACAUUCUCCAUAUCUAUAGCUGUAUAUUUUGACUUCUUUUCAUUUUUCUGGUUUGUUGUUGUUUUUUUUUCCUGUAAAUGACUGUACUUUUACAAGUACUUUGCUUCUCCUUCUGGAUGUUGUCUUUGGUGGUUUACGUGCUGUGCCUAGUGUUGCCAAAAGAGAAGAUGGGGUAACUUGGAAUAGUGAAAGAUUUUUCUGUGAAUAAACAUGUUUCUACAAUCU